rnacentral:lncRNA from 1 species
CCAGCCCACCAGCUGGCCACUAAAAGCUCCCGGUUGCCAAGAAGUGUGAGCGAGUAAUUUUGCUGGAUGUCCACGUAUUUCAGUUGAGCCAUUUGAAGACAUUAGGAGUGGGGUUAUUGAAGCCCUCCCUUGCUCUAGGACAGUGCAAGCCUGCCUCUGUGUUCACCACAGGUGCCUUUGAGUCCUGGCCCACGCACAGUGCUCUGACUGACAUGGCUGGCUUCCUGUAUCCAGAGAAGAAAUGAGCUGGACCCUCCCCCAACACUCUGGACCCCAGAUAAAAGCAACUGCUUCUGGAAUGAGCAAGUGGACACUCUGGUCUCCAAGGAGCUACUUUAUCUGCUCAGAAAAUAUAUAAAAUUAUUGUUGUAAGAGACAAAUUAUGUCUAUCUCUGUAGGGGCUAAUAUUCCAAGAUGACUCCACUUCAACACCUCAAUAAUGACAUGGCCAAUGCAGUUAAUAAUUAUUAACCUCUUGAAAUGUUAUUAAUGAAUAUGAAAUAUGUAAAAUGUAUAUUUUAAU